GACGAACGCUGGCGGCGUGCUUAACACAUGCAAGUUGAACGGGUCAUAUAUGAAGGGUAACCGGAGUGUAUGGCUAGUGGCGAACGGGUGAGUAAUGCAUGAGAACGUAUCCUCAAGAGGGGGACAACAUUGGGAAACCGAUGCUAAUACCCCAUAAGCCGGGAGGUAAAAGGAGCAAUCCGCUUGAGGAGCGGCUCAUGUCCUAUCAGCUGGUUGGUGAGGUAACGGCUCACCAAGGCGAAGACGGGUAGCCGGCCUGAGAGGGUGAACGGCCACACUGGAACUGAGAGACGGUCCAGACUCCUACGGGAGGCAGCAGUGGGGAAUAUUGGGCAAUGGGGGAAACCCUGACCCAGCGACGCCGCGUGAGGGAAGAAGGCCUUAGGGUCGUAAACCUCUGUUGUGUGGGAAGAAGAGCGUGACGGUACCACACGAGGAAGUCCCGGCUAACUACGUG
rnacentral:rRNA from 1 species